UCGAAUAGAAGUUAAAAUGGGUAAAAAUUAGAACGAUACAGAGAAGAUUAGCAUGGCCCCUGUGGAAAGAUGACACACACAAAUCGAGAAAUAGUCUAAAUUUUU